ACAAACAGCUUUUUUGAGUGUUUUUCUGCUCAAUAGCGUCUGGCUACGGACCAGAAGGUUAGGGGUUCAAAUCCCUUUGGGUGUACCA
rnacentral:tRNA from 1 species